UCUGUCGUUCACUUUAUCAUCCCUGCCUCCAAAACUCUUUCUCCCCCACGUCGUCCUCAAUCAGGGUCGGCCCUGGGGUAAGCCCACCAAGCCUCGGGGCUGGGGCAACCCAGGGCCGGGGGGCAACCAAUGCGCUCCCGUUCGAGACGCCUGCAAUGAGAUCGCCGAUAACUUCUGUCGCCUCAUCCCCUGCCUCGCUGAUUCCGGGAAAAGAUCUAAGCUUGGUGUGAAAGUGUUGCUGAUUCUUCUUCAUGUGAUCCUCGUGGGCUCUGUGUUCCUCUUGGAUUUGGAUUUGAUACGGAGAACUAGAAAAGAGCCCUGGUUAGAGACGUGCGGCUGAUCAUGGAUCGAAACUCGAGACGAUCAAAAGGAGUUGAAUGUCAAAUCUAUGCAGGAACUACUUUGAAAGAUUUGAGAGGACCGCUCCCUAGUCAAUCUGAUCUGGAAGCACGGGUUAUAGAAGAAAAGAGAAAGAACCAGAUACUUCAACAACGCUUAGAUGAGCAGGAGCAACAAUAAUAAAUGAUGUCUGAGUUGGAGUCACAAGUGAAAGCUAUGCAAGAACUUUUUUUUAGGCAAUCACCUUCAUUGACUCCUCAAACUCGAGAACAUGUGCAGGACUAGGCUAUCCAUGCAAGAUUAGGAGGGGGGUAGCUCGAGUCUUCUUUCGAUGAUGAUUAGAGAUGAAAGAAUGUGUCUUCCCAAAACUUUUAUUUUAAUUUGUUUUAGAUAGUUUCAGGUAUUUUUCUUUGGAACAAUUAGGAUAUUAACUAUUGUUAUUACUAUUGAAUAUUUGAGGAUGGUGGAAUUUUAUUUAUUGAUGUUA